AGUGAACGCUGGCGGUAGGCCUAACACAUGCAAGUCGAACGGCAGCACAGGAGAGCUUGCUCUCUGGGUGGCGAGUGGCGGACGGGUGAGGAAUACAUCGGAAUCUACUCUGUCGUGGGGGAUAACGUAGGGAAACUUACGCUAAUACCGCAUACGACCUACGGGUGAAAGCAGGGGAUCUUCGGACCUUGCGCGAUUGAAUGAGCCGAUGACGGAUUAGCUAGUUGGCGGGGUAAAGGCCCACCAAGGCGACGAUCCGUAGCUGGUCUGAGAGGAUGAUCAGCCGCACUGGAACUGAGACACGGUCCAGACUCCUACGGGAGGCAGCAGUGGGGAAUAUUGGACAAUGGGCGCAAGCCUGAUCCAGCCAUACCGCGUGGGUGAAGAAGGCCUUCGGGUUGUAAAGCCCUUUUGUUGGGAAAGAAAUCCAGCUGGCUAAUACCCGGUUGGGAUGACGGUACCCUAAGAAUAAGCACCGGCUAACUUCGUGCCAGCAGCCGCCGCCG
rnacentral:rRNA from 1 species